AUUGAACGCUGGCGGCAGGCCUAACACAUGCAAGUCGAGCGGAUGAAGGGAGCUUGCUCCUGGAUUCAGCGGCGGACGGGUGAGUAAUGCCUAGGAAUCUGCCUUGUAGUGGGGGAUAACGUCCGGAAACGGGCGCUAAUACCGCAUACGUCCUGAGGGAGAAAGUGGGGGAUCUUCGGACCUCACGCUAUCAGAUGAGCCUAGGUCGGAUUAGCUAGUUGGUGGGGUAAAGGCCUACCAAGGCGACGAUCCGUAACUGGUCUGAGAGGAUGAUGAGGCAAACGGGGACUGAGACACGGACAAGACUACUACGGGAGGCAGCAGUGGGGAAUAUUGGACGAUGGGCGAAAGCCUGAUCCAGCAAUGGCGCGUGUAUGAAGAAGGUCUUCGGAUUGUAAAGAACUUUAGGUUGGAAAGAAAAGCAGUAAGUUAAUACCUUGCUGUUUUGACGUUACCAACAGAAUAAGCACCGGCUAACUUCGUG
rnacentral:rRNA from 1 species